AUGAGAUGCAGCAACAGGAGGAGAAGAUAGAAAUUAAAAAGAGGAAGAAACUAUGCUGUAUCAGAGGGUGUACUAAUGAAAACAGCAGGAUGUUCUCUUUCCCCUAAGAGAGAAAGGAUAAGAAGAGGAUGGCGCAGUGGGUGGAAGUAUGUGACAACCCAAAGUCAGUGCUUCCACCUGAAAACUGAAAUUCCAGGUGAUCUGUAGCACCUACUUUGAAGAAAGAUACUUCAUGAGGAAAAGAUUAACAACAUCAGCAGUUCCAACACUGAACUUACUUGUGUCAGAGACUGCCUUUAUUAAAAUAGAGCAACAAGACAC